UACAGAGACCUCAAGCGUUGUCCGGAAUUAUUGGGCGUAAAGAGCUUGUAGGUGGCUCGUUGCGUCGGGAGUGAAAACCUGCGGCUUAACCGCAGGCCUGCUUCCGAUACGGGCGAGCUAGAGUUCGGCAGGGGAGACUGGAAUUCCUGGUGUAGCGGUGGAAUGCGCAGAUAUCAGGAGGAACACCGGUGGCGAAGGCGGGUCUCUGGGCCGAUACUGACACUGAGAAGCGAAAGCGUGGGGAGCGAACAGG
rnacentral:rRNA from 1 species